CACAUGGAUGCGUCCAUAGCAGGAGGCAUCAAUGAUAUCUCCCUUGACUCGGCCCCAGCACCGGCGAUGGCCUUCCAUCCGGUAAUGGUGAUUUGCAGCAGCGCCAGCGAAGGUGCGAGGGGCGUGCGUCAGUGCCUGCGCAGGGGAAGUACGCGAGGGGGCGAUGGCAGUGCGUGCGCAAGGGGAACGCGCGAUCCGCGGGGAUCGGACGCAUGCGAUGCGUCCGACCCAAACGGUUCGGGUGACGCGUCGGGUAGAAACGUUUCCCUUAUAUAAAAGAUGCUGGAGUACCGCCUCCUAGGAGCCUUAGCAUUCGAGGAGAGCCUUUGCUUUGUCAGUUACGCAGUGCGGGUGCCACGAGCGCCUUAAAAGGGCUUUUCCCGUCAACUGAUUUGCAAGGAUGAUGAUGCCUUGGAAGUUCAUGAUGGAUGGACCGCGGGUAUGCACGAGCCUAUGUCAUGUGCUGUUUUUCGGCACGUUUGUGUGUAAGGCCUAAUGCGAAAACUCCUACAUGCCGCUCGCUGCAGCAGGGAGUCCCUCCCACACACACGGCGACCCCCGACUGGGCCGGCCGAGUAGGCACACGACAAUUGUAGCUUCUUUUUUUCUGCUUAUUUCUUUUUUAUUUUUGGGACGUUUUUCUUUCAAUUUUUCUUUUUUUCUCUUUUAUCAAAAAGAAUAAACGUUGAAUUUUUUGAAAGCCCAAUACAUUUUUUGAAAAUCCC
rnacentral:lncRNA from 1 species